rnacentral:rRNA from 1 species
AACGUUAGCGGCGGACGGGUGAGUAACACGUGGGCAACCUACCUUAUAGUUUGGGAUAACUCCGGGAAACCGGGGCUAAUACCGAAUAAUCUGUUUCACCUCAUGGUGAAACACUGAAAGACGGUUUCGGCUGUCGCUAUAGGAUGGGCCCGCGGCGCAUUAGCUAGUUGGUGAGGUAACGGCUCACCAAGGCGACGAUGCGUAGCCGACCUGAGAGGGUGAUCGGCCACACUGGGACUGAGACACGGCCCAGACUCCUACGGGAGGCAGCAGUAGGGAAUCUUCCACAAUGGGCGAAAGCCUGAUGGAGCAACGCCGCGUGAGUGAAGAAGGAUUUCGGUUCGUAAAACUCUGUUGUAAGGGAAGAACAAGUACAGUAGUAACUGGCUGUACCUUGACGGUACCUUAUUAGAAAGCCACGGCUAACUACGUGCCAGCAGCCGCGGUAAUACGUAGGUGGCAAGCGUUGUCCGGAAUUAUUGGGCGUAAAGCGCGCGCAGGUGGUUUCUUAAGUCUGAUGUGAAAGCCCACGGCUCAACCGUGGAGGGUCAUUGGGAAACUGGGGAGAACUUGGAGUGGAGAAGAAGGAUAGUGGAAUUCCCAGGUGG